rnacentral:lncRNA from 1 species
GUCACGAGUCAGAGUGGUUGUGGUUGGUACAUCACUGCCGGAUUUCAAAAGAGUACUUUCAGUGCGACCGCGUAUUUAAAAAAAGAUACAUACCGGCGGACCGUCAGAAAUUUACCGACGAACGCAAUUAUGAUCAAAAAAUAUAAGUAUUUUAUAUUGUAUUUAUUUAUAAAUAAAAUAUACCGGCGGACCCUAAGAAAUAUACCACCGAACGCAGUUAUAUUCAAAAAAAAUGCCGCCUAAGGACUUUCAGUGUGACCGCGUAUUUAUAAAUAAAAUAUACCGCCGAACCCUCAGCAGUAUACCUAAGAACGCAAUUAUCAGUAAAAAUAUACCGCCUGUUAUUCAGAAAUAUAGUCAAUUAUCAGUACUUUGGGUAUCGAUAAGCGUGUAAUCGAUAUUUCAUAUUCGAUAGCCGAUGUUAGGUCGGUAAAUUCAAUUAAAUCAAAUCAAAAAACUAAAAGUGCAAUAAAUAUACGAAAAAUAGUAUUAAUCCAGCAGCAGCCAUCAUCAACAACUACAACAGCAGCAACAGCAACAAAUACAUUUAUUUUUGAAGUGCAAACGGUGCAGUUGGAAAUGAUAGAUUUGACUGUGUGUUACGAACCUGUUUUGGUGUUGGGGCAAGGCCGGCUAGCCAGUCAUCCCAGGGCUGAGUUCUUCCCAGGCCCCCAGGUCGCACAACAAACCAACUGUUCGGACAUCUCGAACAAAUAUCAAAAACAAACGAUAAUUCAAAACAAUGCAUCGGACUUUACUCUACAUCUAACGGACAAACAUCUCUCCAACACAGACGUGGACAAGUCUGAGGUGCCGAUGGUCUAGCUCCUACGUACUCUACCUGAGAAGCGACUCGGAAUACCUCAGAUCUCCUUCCCAAGUGUGGCGGACUUUCUCCAUCUCGCCGAUGUGGUCCCCUUUCCCCCCCAUACUAAACACACUAGCACUUCAUUUUAAACGUUAUAAUAUUUAAACCAAAAACUUAACACAUACUUAACUAAAAAUUCCUAUACUAAUGUCUCGUGGCGCGUCCGCCUAUUCCCGACUCUUCAACUUAAAUUAAUGGGUGGGAAUAAUCACAAAAAAAUAAUAAAUAUAAAUAAUAAAAUAAAUAUAUAUACAAAUACUACAUUUAUAUUACAUUAAUAUGGUCGGUAAAUAUAUGUGGGGUGGCUAAUUAAUUGAAUAUUAAUUAAUAUAGAAAGAUAUUAUUUUUGUGUGUCUUUAUAUACGCAUGUAAAUAGGUAUGCGUUUAUGUAGGCGUAGAUUAAUUAUAUUAAUUGUCGCUGGGGCUGUGGCGGGUCGCGCCCGAGCAGGGGUGUGACCAGGAUUCCGCGGGCCGGGGAAUGGUAAUUUUGGCCCAUCUACGGGAAGCCAGCCGAUACAAUUUACGCCCUAUGGGUUUUAAAAAUAUUGAAUCUGGGAUUCAUUUUCCCUUUGGACUGGACUCACUUUUUAUUUCGAUUCGGGUAAAAGGGUCCUCUACGUUGGCCGGUCUGUUUUUUUUUCCUUAACGGUCACACACACAAAACGCCCUAACACUGCCGAUGUGUAUUUUCCCACUGCCGGCAUGUUCAGCGUAGCUACUCUACGCAGUCCCCCUUGCUGCAGUUGAUCUCAUCUCUUCUACUGCCCUUGAACCAAAUUCAAGGGCAUCGCAUGGCAUUCUUGAGGGUGUGGGUGAGCUGGCUCGUGGAUCCCGCAAUAUUCCCCUCUCUUACAUUCUCCCGCUCUCUCACCGGCACCGUUGAUCGCCUUGCCCCUUCGCCUAUCGACCUAUCAACCUCCAAAAAAAUACUACCAAAUCUAGUAUUUUGCAUAUCGCUCUCCUUCGAAUGCAACACCUAGCGAAAAUUCAGGCGUGCCUGUACGGAAGAAUUAUUCGCAAACACUCGAAGGACAUUGAAAGCUAACGCUUGCCCUAGGGUCUUGCAGCGCCCAACGUAGGCUCACACCCACUCGGUUUGUACAUGAGUGCCCUAUUCUUCUUCCCUUCUCUAAAGCUUUCCCACUACAAUUUCAGGUCUUUGGCGUGAAAAAUCCCCACCGGUUUCCCCGCCAGGUCUUCAAGUUCGUAGGCAUUAUUUGCAUCCGGACGUACGACUCGGCACUUCAGGAACUUCCGGGCGAAUUUGGCGUUGUAGCUCUUCCCAAAGUCAAUGAGGGUGAAAUUGCGCCUGUAUACUUCUUGCCCAGGUUUGGCGAAAAAUAUUCGGGCCCGUUUGUUGUAGCUCUGGCUGCUGUGCUCGUACGCUUGGUGAAGGUUGGCCUUGAUACGUUCCCGGAUGAUGUGGCACUUAUCCGCGGGGUUCAACGCGUGCACCUCAUGCUCCGUCAGCGACUGCAGCUUCCUCGCCAACUUAUAGCAGUUCCCAUUAAGGAACAUUUGCUGUCCAAAAACUGCAAAAAACGGCGUCACGCCUGUGGCUUCGUGCACUGAGUCACGGAUCGACACUUCAAUCUCCGGUAGGUACAUAUCCCAGUCUGGAUGAUCCUUCUCUAAAUACGUCCUGAUUGCAGCUAAUAUUGUCCGGUUCACCCUCUCGGCGGCAUUGCUCUGUGGUGAGUAGACUGCUGUGCGCAGAUGUCGGGCGCCGAAGGUGCUCAUCAUGUCCUGGAAGAUCUUCGACAGGAACUGCUUUCCGUUGUCGGAGUGGAUCACCUCGGGCACCCCAAACUUGUAGAACACUUCCUGUACUAGGAAUUGAACUACGUUCGCAGCGGUCGCCUCUCUCAUCGCUUUUAGAAAGGUGAAUUUAGA